rnacentral:rRNA from 1 species
UAAGGAAUAUUGGUCAAUGGGCGCAAGCCUGAACCAGCCAUGCCGCGUGCAGGAAGACUGCCCUAUGGGUUGUAAACUGCUUUUAUACGGGAGAAAUGGUAUCUUUUUAAAAGGUAUUUGAUAGUACUGUAUGAAUAAGGAUCGGCUAACUACGUGCCAGCAGCCGCGGUAAUACGUAGGAUCCAAGCGUUAUCCGGAUUUACUGGGUUUAAAGGGUGCGUAGGCGGUUAAAUAAGUCAGUGGUGAAAUUCUGUUGCUUAACAGCAGAACUGCCACAGAUACUGUUUGACUUGAGUACAGUUGAAGUAGGCGGAAUGUGACAAGUAGCGGUGAAAUGCAUAGAUAUGUCACAGAACACCGAUAGCGAAGGCAGCUUGCUAAGCUGUUACUGACGCUGAAGCACGAAAGCGUGGGGAUCAAACA